rnacentral:rRNA from 1 species
GAGUUUGAUCAUGGCUCAGGACGAACGCUGGCGGCGUGCCUAACACAUGCAAGUCGAACGGAGAAUUUCAAGAAGCUUGCUUUGAGAAAUUUUUAGUGGCGGACGGGUGAGUAACGCGUGGGUAACCUACCCAUAAACCCGGGACAACCCUUGGAAACGAGGGCUAAUACCGGAUAAUCUUAAAUCUUGGCAUCAAGGUAUAAGGAAAGGUGGCCUCUGAAUAUGCUACCGAUUAUGGAUGGACCCGCGUCUGAUUAGCUAGUUGGUGGGGUAAAGGCCUACCAAGGCGACGAUCAGUAGCCGGCCUGAGAGGGUGAACGGCCACACUGGGACUGAGACACGGCCCAGACUCCUACGGGAGGCAGCAGUGGGGAAUCUUCCGCAAUGGACGAAAGUCUGACGGAGCAACGCCGCGUGUAUGAUGAAGGUCUUCGGAUUGUAAAGUACUGUCUUUGGGGAAGAAUGAUGCAUUUGAAAAUAUUGAGUGCAUAUGACGGUACCCAAGGAGGAAGCCCCCGGCUAACUACGUG